UUGAGCCCGGGUCAACUUCCGCCGGCGAUAUUCGCUCGCGGAAGCGUUUUUG
rnacentral:sRNA from 1 species